GACUCUUCUAUGGCACAAUGGGGCAGUGUGUCUGGCUGUCAACCAAAAGGUUGCUGGUUCGAGCCCACCCAGGGACA
rnacentral:tRNA from 1 species